ensembl:lncRNA
CGUUGAAAUACACAGGUGUAUCCAGCCAGUAUACCACGUUGAAAUACACAGGUGUAGCCAGCCAGUAUACCAUGUUGAAAUACACAGGUGUAGCCAGCCAGUAUACCAUGUUGAAAUACACAGGUGUAUCCAGCCAGUAUACUGUAUACCACGUUGAAAUACACAGGUGUAUCCAGCCAGUAUACUGUAUACUAUGUUGAAAUACACAGGUGUAUCCAGCCAGUAUACCACGUUGAAAUACACAGGUGUAUCCAGCCAGUAUACCACGUUGAAAUACACAGGUGUAUCCAGCCAGUAUACCAUGUUGAAAUACACAGGUGUAUCCAGCCAGUAUACUGUAUACCACGUUGAAAUACACAGGUGUGCCCAGCCAGUGUACCACGUUGAAAUACACAGGUGUAGCCAGCCAGUGUACCACGUUGAAAUACACAGGUGUAUCCAGCCAGUAUACCACGUUGAAAUACACAGGUGUAGCCAGCCAGUAUACUGUAUACCACGUUGAAAUACACAGUCGUAUCCAGCCAGUGUACAGUAUACCAUGUUGAAAUACACAGGUGUAGCCAGCCAGUAUACCACGUUGAAAUACACAGGCGUAUCCAGCCAGUAUACUGUAUACCAUGUUGAAAUACACAGGCGUAUCCAGCCAGUAUACUGUAUACCAUGUUGAAAUACACAGGCGUAUCCAGCCAGUAUACUGUAUACCAUGUUGAAAUACACAGGUGUAUCCAGCCAGUAUACUGUAUACCACGUUGAAAUACACAGGUGUAGUACUAUUCUAGGAUUUGUUCAUUACCAAGUUGGAACAUAUUUUUAUUGCAUAUUAUAAUGCUUGUUGUUGUUGUUGUUGUUGUAUAUCCUCUGCCUUGACGAUGGAAGUAUCCGGUUGAUCCGAUUCGAGGUGACGCUGGCGUCAUGAAAUAAAAGCACAUAUAUAUACUUUAUGAAAUAAUGUUUACACUCCUGUUGUUUAUUAAAAAUAAAAUUUAAAAAGGCAUUGUUAAUUCAAAUGUCUGUAUUUCAAUAUACUUAUUUUAUACCGUUUUAUAAGUGACAUAUAUAUAUAUAUAUUGUGUAUGAAAAGCCUUGUAAUUGUUGUAAUCACUUGAUGUGAUUUUUGUGCAUUUGACAUCAGUGUCUCGUUGUAUUUUUUUCAAUAUUAAAAGGACCCAGAGCAGUCAAAAAAAAAC